rnacentral:rRNA from 1 species
AGCAGCCGCGGUAAUUCCAGCUCCAAUAGCGUAUAUUAAAGUUGUUGCAGUUAAAAAGCUCGUAGUUGAAUUUCGGGAUUAGUACGCUGGUCGUGCCUUUGGUAUGUACUGGUGUUACUGGUUCCUACCUUCUGACGAACCGUCAUGUCAUUAAUUUGGUGUGGCGGGGAAUCAGGACUGUUACUUUGAAAAAAUUAGAGUGUUUAAAGCAGGCUCGCGCUUGAAUACAUUAGCAUGGAAUAAUGAAAUAGGACGUUCGAUCCUAUUUUGUUGGUUUCUAGGAUUGACGUAAUGAUUAAUAGGGAUAGUUGGGGGCAUUAGUAUUCAAUUGUCAGAGGUGAAAUUCUUGGAUUUAUUGAAGACUAACUACUGCGAAAGCAUUUGCCAAGGAUGUUUUCAUUAAUCAAGAACGAAAGUUAGGGGAUCGAAGACGAUCAGAUACCGUCGUAGUCUUAACCAUAAACUAUGCCGACUAGGGAUCGGAUGAUGUUAUUUUUUAAUGACUCAUUCGGUGCCUUACG